GCCGGUAUGGCGCAACAGGGAGCGCUGCUGAUUUGUAAUCAGAGGGUUGCGGGUUCGACUCCUGCUGCCCGGCACCA
rnacentral:tRNA from 2 species